AUACGUAGGUGGCAAGCGUUGUCCGGAUUUAUUGGGCGUAAAGCGAGUGCAGGCGGUCUUUUAAGUCUGAUGUGAAAGCCUUCGGCUUAACCGGAGAAGUGCAUCGGAAACUGGGAGACUUGAGUGCAGAAGAGGACAGUGGAACUCCAUGUGUAGCGGUGGAAUGCGUAGGUAUAUGGAAGAACACCAGUGGCGAAGGCGGCUGUCUAGUCUGUAACUGACGCUGAGGCUCGAAAGCAU
rnacentral:rRNA from 1 species